UCGAUCUCAAAUCAGGUAGGACUACCCGCUGAACUUAAGCAUAUCAAUAAGCGGAGGAAAAGAAACUAACAAGGAUUCCCCUAGUAACUGCGAGUGAAGCGGGAAGAGCUCAAAUUUAAAAUCCGACGUGCCUCUGGUCGUCCGAGUUGUAGUCUGAAGAAGCGUUUUCCGUGUUGGGCCGUGUAUAAGUCUCUUGGAACAGGGCGUCAUAGAGGGUGAGAAUCCCGUCUUUGACACGGACUACCAAUGCUUUGUGAUGCGCUCUCAAAGAGUCGAGUUGUUUGGGAAUGCAGCUCAAAAUGGGUGGUAAAUUCCAUCUAAAGCUAAAUAUAGGCGAGAGACCGAUAGCGAACAAGUACCGUGAGGGAAAGAUGAAAAG
rnacentral:rRNA from 1 species